rnacentral:rRNA from 1 species
CUACGUGCCAGCAGCCGCGGUAAUACGUAGGGUGCGAGCGUUAAUCGGAAUUACUGGGCGUAAAGCGAGCGCAGACGGUUACUUAAGCAGGAUGUGAAAUCCCCGGGCUCAACCUGGGAACUGCGUUCUGAACUGGGUGACUAGAGUGUGUCAGAGGGAGGUAGAAUUCCACGUGUAGCAGUGAAAUGCGUAGAGAUGUGGAGGAAUACCGAUGGCGAAGGCAGCCUCCUGGGAUAACACUGACGUUCAUGCUCGAAAGCGUGGGUAGCAAACAGGAUUAGAUACCCUGGUAGUCCACGCCCUAAACGAUGUCAAUUAGCUGUUGGGCAACUUGAUUGCUUAGUAGCGUAGCUAACGCGUGAAAUUGACCGCCUGGGGAGUACGACCGCAAGGUUGAAACUCAAAGGAAUUGACGGGGGCCCGCACAAGCGGUGGAGCAUGUGGUUUAAUUCGAAGCAACGCGAAGAACCUUACCAGGUCUUGAC